UACGGAGGGGGCUAGCGUUGUUCGGAAUUACUGGGCGUAAAGCGCACGUAGGCGGCUUUGUAAGUUAGAGGUGAAAGCCCAGGGCUCAACCCUGGAAUUGCCUUUAAGACUGCAUCGCUAGAAUUGUGGAGAGGUAAGUGGAAUUCCGAGUGUAGAGGUGAAAUUCGUAGAUAUUCGCAAGAACACCAGUGGCGAAGGCGGCCGACUGGUCCGGUUCUGACGCUGAGGCGCGAAAGCGUGGGGAGCAAACAGG
rnacentral:rRNA from 1 species